rnacentral:lncRNA from 1 species
CACAGCACACCAUCACUGCACACUACGACCGCACCCAAUAGCAGCACACAACUUGAUUCACUUUCAUCUAUUGACCUUGGCAAACACGAACACUGCCUACUAAAUUCCACCAUUUCUUUCGAUCACCACCACCAUGACUAUCACACAUCACUACUGCCACCACCACAACCGCCUGCUCAAACACCAUCCACCACCUCCACUUGCAACUCUAAUAACCACCGCAUAACCACAACCACUGCCUGCUAAAGUCCACAAUUUCUUCCAAUGCUACAGCACCCAUAGAAACCAUCCAACCUCAAUCAAACCACAGCGCAAAAAAUCCUUAAAACCACCGUACCAGCACACCAACUAGAAAAACAGAUGCAAAAAAUGAGGGGAGAGAGAGACGACGAGCUUCGUGAUGGGCCAUCCCCACACCAACUCUAAUCAACCGCAUGUCACUGCUUACGAUGGUAAGGUGCUGGGGCAUCACGCACGAUGGUCGGUGGUCGAUUCUUUGCCCGUCACUGACACACACGAGCUUCGUGAAGAGUCACCGGAGCUUCUCUCAGAUCGACACAUGUCGCGGCAUUGGCGCUUGUUGUGGCAUCGAGUUCGUCUUGCACCGACGCUAGUCAUGACAUUAGAAUUUGUCCCGGUCAGAUUUAGCAAAGCCAAUCCCGAUAGAGAGAAGGUAGAGAGAAAGGGG